rnacentral:rRNA from 1 species
GUGGGGAAUCUUCCGCAAUGGACGAAAGUCUGACGGAGCAACGCCGCGUGAGUGAAGAAGGUUUUCGGAUCGUAAAGCUCUUUCGUUAGGGACGAACGUGCUCUUUGUGAAUAAUGAGGAGUAAUGACGGUACCUAAAUAAGAAGCCACGGCUAACUACGUGCCAGCAGCCGCGGUAAUACGUAGGUGGCAAGCGUUGUCCGGAAUUAUUGGGCGUAAAGCGCGCGCAGGCGGGAUAUCAAGUCUGUCUUAAAAGUGCGAGGCUCAACCUCGUGAGGGGACAGAAACUGGUAUUCUUGAGUGUCGGAGAGCAAAGUGGAAUUCCAAGUGUAGCGGUGAAAUGCGUAGAGAUUUGGAAGAACACCAGUGGCGAAGGCGACUUUCUGGACUGUAACUGACGCUGAGGCUCGAAAGCCAGGGGAGCGAACGGGAUUAGAAACCCGUGUAGUCC